GUUGCAAUGUAGUUUAAAAAAAUCACCACAGGAGGACGCAUUAGUCAAUUUGUUGCAAUGUAGUUUAUAAAAAUCACCACAGGAGGGCGCAUUAGUCAAUUUGUUGUGAUGUAGUUUACAAAAAAUCAUCACAGGAGGGCGCAAUGGUCAUUUGUAGCAAUGUAGUUUUCAAAAAUCACUACAUGAUGGAACAAUCAAUUAGACAGCAUGUAGCUACACAGACUCAGUGGUGCAAGUAGUAAUGAGCUGUGAUUUAAAUCAUGACGUCGUUAGUUCGAAUCCUAUUAACAAUUAUGUUAAAUUGUGAUCAUCACAUGCAACAAAAUCACAUAAAUGCCACAGUAGACAGAGAGUUCAUUGUGGGUGAGUGGACAAGCAUGUGCUCUCUGAGAAUAAGAUGACAAUGAAGACAUGGGUUCACACCAUGCUUACAGGUUACUUUACUUUGUUUACUAUUAAAAUCACAGCUCAGCUCGAGUCAAACAUCAGUUCCAGCAGGUGUUCAGACAGGAGAUCUGUGGCUCUGUGGUAAGAGCGCUGCCCCACGGCUUCAGGGGUUGCUGGUAUUGGUCCCAGCCAGAACUCUGCGAUAUGUGUGAAUGGCGGCAUCAGCGAGCUGCUCUUUUAGCCUGAACACCUUUGACAACAGCGCCACAGAUCAUCACAGGUACACCGUUUUACUGGCGUCAAGUCCAGCAGAUGACAGCUCAGUGACAGACUCAUAAUGUCAGUCAACAGCACAUAUUACAGCCCGACAGUGAAGAAAAGCGACACAAAGUGCAGAAAUGGAGAGUAACGCGACUCACCUGUAAGUGACUUUGUUUCGGUGGGUUUGUUUGUAGUGAUGUUGCUGUAGUGUUUGUGUUCAGGCAUUGCUCUCUCUCCUCCUCUGCAGCAGUGAAGAUACACACGUGUGUCUGUUGUGUUUCUGCUGCACAUCUUUCCUCUUUCUGACGCUCCUCCACACACUCCUCCACAUCCAGGCGGAUUCACAGCUCCAGUAAAGGAGAGACUUUCUGUGUAGCAGCAGCUGCCAGUCUGGACGUAGAUUACACCAGUAUUCAACCAGUUUCUGAUUAGACGGCUGAGAGUACAAGAAACAGCCUUGAGGAUGAAACAGGUCGUUCCCUGUAGAGCGGCACGGUAUUGGAAAUAUAUCACAAUGUGAUGUUUAGUUUUCUGUGAUUUAUACUGUGAUAAGAGUACAAUUUCACCAGAUGACUUGAACGGCUCUGUGUGUACAGAAUUGAUCAUUUUAGAUUGAUUGGGAUGAUUCUGUAGAUUUAUUAUGCACACUAUAAUUGCUGUGUUUUUGUUAUUGUAAGGCAGCGAGAUCGGCCAGCAAACUCUAUGCGAGUGUCACAGAACGGCAAACUAUCUUCAGUAAAUUCUCUUAAUCUUACUGAGUCUCCAGCUCAGAGGCUUCUCUUAAUCGGACACACCAGUCGUUUUGGUCUCACCUGUUAAUUUCCCUCCUCACAACGUGUGUGUGUGUGUGUGUGUGUGUGUGUGUGUGUGUGUGUGUGUGUGUGUGUGUGUGUGUGUGUUUAACCACUUUUCACCUUUUAAAGCUUAAACUCAAACAUCUGAUCAUUCAUAAGGGAUUAUUUUAGCUCUUUUUAUACAGAAAUUCAGGACAAAUUAUUGAUUAACAAUGUGGAAAUAUCAAACCAAUAUAAAUGUAACAUAAAACAAUUCCCAAAAGCUGAUGACUACAGACUUGACAUCAAAUAUCAAUAAAUGAAGUGCAAAACAUAAAUAUUGAACUUUUUAGCUCGUGACUUUCUCACUAUGAUGUUCUUCACUCCAGAUCGUCUUUUAGCCUGUAUGUAAUUAAUGCACCUCUCAUCAAUAAACACAUUUAAUAUAUUUGACGAGCUUUUAUAUUGGGGAUGCAGAAUGUUUUCAUUGCUUACAGAUUUAAUUGACCAACAGAAAUAUGAUCAUAAAUGCCUUAUAAAGAUGACUGGCUGCUUUUUAAAUGUUUAUAUAUUGUAGUAAGCCAUUAAUCAAGUUUAGAAUUAUAAGUAUUUUUGUUGCUGUAUGAAAACAACCAGUGGAUGAAAAAAAUCUUCUGAACUCAGCAAGAGGCAUUAAAGCGCAGUUUCCAUCCGCUCCACUAGGCGGCAUCAACGAGCUGCUCUUAGCCUGAACACCUUUGACAACAGCGCCACAGAUCAUCACAGGUACACCGUUUUACUGGCGUCAAGUUGAGCUCCAGCAGAUGACAGCUCAGUGACAGACUCAUAAUGUCAGUCAACAGCACAUAUUACAGCCCGACAGUGAAGAAAAGCGACACAAAGUGCAGAAAUGGAGAGUAACGCGACUCACCUGUAAGUGACUUUGUUUCGGUGGGUUUGUUUGUAGUGAUGUUGCUGUAGUGUUUGUGUUCAGGCAUUGCUCUCUCUCCUCCUCUGCAGCAGUGAAGAUACACACGUGUGUCUGUUGUGUUUCUGCUGCACAUCUUUCCUCUUUCUGACGCUCCUCCACACACUCCUCCACAUCCAGGCGGAUUCACAGCUCCAGUAAAGCUCACACACAGGUCAGCAGCCAAACAUCAGUUCCAGCAGGUGUUCAGACAGGAGAUCUGUGGCUCUGUGGUAAGAGCGCUGCCCCACGGCUUCAGGGGUUGCUGGUAACGGUCCCAGCCAGAACUCUGCGAUAUGUGUGAAUGGUGAGUGAGUGUGAGGCGCGCCUGAAGAAGGGGGGAUACCAGUUCGGUCUCCCCCUGGAGCUUCCGGAGCCGUGUCCAGCAGGGGUUAUACUUUACAGCCUGCCAAAAAAUUUAAAAUGAACUGUAUAAAAAUUCUAGACCUUCGUCCCUUCCCCACCCGUUUCGGUUACCAUCAUUUACUUUCUAGAGGAGUGACCCUCCACAAAGCAAAUGAUGGUAACCGACAUGUGGAACAC